rnacentral:rRNA from 1 species
UGGGGAAUAUUGGGCAAUGGGGGAAACCCUGACCCAGCAACGCCGCGUGAAGGACGAAGGCCUUCGGGUUGUAAACUUCUUUGAUCAGGGACGAACGAAAUGACGGUACCUGAAGAACAAGCCACGGCUAACUACGUGCCAGCAGCCGCGGUAAUACGUAGGUGGCGAGCGUUAUCCGGAUUUACUGGGUGUAAAGGGCGUGCAGGCGGGUCCGCAAGUCGGGUGUGAAAUAUCCGGGCUUAACCCGGAAAGGUCAUUCGAAACUGCGGAUCUUGAGUACUGGAGAGGACAGUGGAAGUCCUGGUGUAGCGGUAAAAUGCGUAGAUAUCAGGAGGAACACCAGUGGCGAAGGCGGCUGUCUGGACAGUAACUGACGCUGAGGCGCGAAAGCGUGGGGAGCAAACAG